UACGUAGGGGGCUAGCGUUGUCCGGAAUCAUUGGGCGUAAAGCGCGUGUAGGCGGUUCGGUAAGUCCGCUGUGAAAGUCGGGGGCUCAACCCUCGAAAGCCGGUGGAUACUGUCGGGCUAGAGUACGGAAGAGGCGAGUGGAAUUCCUGGUGUAGCGGUGAAAUGCGCAGAUAUCAGGAGGAACACCAGUGGCGAAGGCGGCAUCCUGGACCGGUAUUGACGCUGAGGCGCGAAAGCCAGGGGAGCAAACGGG
rnacentral:rRNA from 1 species